AUAAGUCAGGGGUGAAAGUCGGUUGCUCAACAAUCGAAUUGCCUUUGAAACUGUGUGGCUCGAGUAUAGAUGAGGUAGNCGGAAUGUGUAGUGUANCGGUGAAAUGCAUAGAUAUUACACAGAACCCCAAUUGCGAAGGCAGCUUACCAAACUAUUACUGACGCUGAAGCACGAAAGCGUGGGUAGCGAACAGGAUUAGAUACCCUGGUAGUCCACGCCGUAAACUAUGCUCACUCGCUGUUGGCAAUAGAUCGUCAGCGGCUAAGGGAAACCGAUAAGUGAGCCACCUGGGGAGUACGAUCGCAAGAUUGAAACUCAAAGGAAUUGACGGGGGCCCGCACAAGCGGAGGAACAUGUGGUUUAAUUCGAUGAUACGCGAGGAACCUUACCUGGGCUUAAAUGUAGAGUGCAUAAAGUGGAAACAUUUUUUUCCUUCGGGACUCUUUACAAGGUGCUGCAUGGUUGUCGUCAGCUCGUGCCGUGAGGUGUCGGGUUAAGUCCCAUAACGAGCGCAACCCCUAUCGUUAGUUACCAGCACGUAUUGGUGGGGACUCUAGCGAAACUGCCGGUGUAAACCGUGAGGAAGGUGGGGAUGACGUCAAAUCAGCACGGCCCUUAUGUCCAGGGCUACACACGUGUUACAAUGGUCGGUACAGUGGGCAGCCACAUAGCAAUAUGGAGCUAAUCUCAAAAGCCGAUCUCAGUUCGGAUUGGAGUCUGCAACCCGACUCCAUGAAGGUGGAUUCGCUAGUAAUCGCGCAUCAGCCAUGGCGCGGUGAUACGUUCCCGGGCCUUGUACACACCGCCCGUCAAGCCAUGGAAGUUUGGGGUGCCUGAAGUUCGUAACCGCAAGGAGCGACCUAGGGUAAACAAAUGACUGGGGCUAA
rnacentral:rRNA from 1 species